rfam:Rhodospirillaceae bacterium BRH_c57 BRHa_1001438, whole genome shotgun sequence.
AGGAUCUGUCCCUAGUACGAGAGGACCGGGAUGGACGUACCUCUGGUGUACCAGUUGUUCCGCCAGGAGCACCGCUGGGUAGCUAUGUACGGACGGGAUAACCGCUGAAAGCAUCUAAGCGGGAAACCUCCCUCAAAACCAGGCAUCCCUUGAGAGCCGUGGAAGACCACCACGUUGAUAGGCCGGGUGUGGAAGCGCAGUAAUGUGUGAAGCUAACCGGUACUAAUCGCUCGAUUGGCUUGAGAGC